GUCUCCACAUGUGAUAGAUAAACUUCACAAAUAAAAGUAAAUUAAAACGCUUGAAACAUGUUAAUGUCAUAAGCUGAUUUUUAUAAUAUCAGCUGUGAAAGUGCAGGCCAAAAAUCUUCCUUCACAUGUAGAUAAGCACUUCAGGAGAAACCUGCCUGUGAUCUGCUAAGAUGCACAGAUUCAACUCUGGCCCAUUGUCAUCCCAACACCUUAUCUGCCAUCAGUUUCGUUUAGUGUCGAUCUAUUGCAAAAGUUCUUAUAAACUUUAAAUGAGACUUUGUGUUAAGCAGGGGUUUCCAAACUUUUAAUUUCACAACAUAUUAAGCCCAGGAUACACAGCAGGAUUUUUUGCAAUCCAAUAGACCUUAUCACACUGUGUGACAAGAAUUGUUUAAACUUUAGCAGUAGACUGUCGAUGAAAACACCUAUUGCAUCUGAGGCUGCGACAUCCGUCAUCAGCAUGCGCUAGUGGUAAACAAAUACAGGUAUGCAGGUCGUAGAAGCAAACACGUUGUUGAUGUGCGUUGAUCAUGCUGAACUUCUUACACUGUCAUAAAACUAUCGUAGGUGUCUUUGGUCCCAGGACUGGGAAAAGAGGUCUUUAAACCUCUCACACUGUAUGAGAUAGGACCACCAAUUAAGAGCCACGAUCACAGAAAUCUCCACGAUUGUUUCACGAUUGGUAAUCUUUCAUCUGGGACAGCCAAAAAUCGUGCCGUGUAUUAUGGGCUUUAGACAUGUGUAAUCUUAUAGUAUAUCAAAACCAUUGCUAAUAAUUAAUUGGACAAACCAUCACUACAAUGCAACACUCGCUAUCUUACGGUGCGACCCACAAGUGGGUCUUCACCCACAGCUUAAAAACCCUGAGUAUGAGUAAGAGUAUGUUGUAUUGUAAUUAAAGUCACAUCUAAGUGUUAUGGAGCAGUUUGUCAUUAUAUUCACAGUAUUACAUGGUUCUUUCAGCAGUUUCUACGUUACAAUGCUCUUAAAGUGUCCUGAUCAGCUUUGGGUCUUGUGAAGUAAUGUAAUGAGAAUGUGAUCAAUAGCUUUGCAGUAUUUUUGGUUAAACAUUUUAUUCAAAUUUGGUAAACAAUCUAGUCAAUAUAAUUCAUGCUGUGAUGCUGGAUUAAACCUGGUCAAAUGAA